UCAUAAAAUAAAUUUUUAUAGAAAUACUCGUAAAUAAUUUUUCGCACAUGAAAGUAAAGUAAAAAUUGUAUGAAUAGAAAUACAGAUAACCAAAAUAUAAGUUUUGAUCUAUAAUGACACGUGGGCUCCAAUUGACCAAGAGGAUGUAAGACUGUGAACUCUUACUCUCUAUAAUGCAGUUCCGAGCUUAGUUCUCGUCCUACUCGACUAUUUACAAACUGUCCUGAGCCUGAAAAAUGUAUAGGAAGAAGGGGUGAGAUUUUAUAAUCCCAGUGAGUAAACAGAUGCCAUCUAAGGUAUCUAAAGCCGAGUAAAUGGAGACAAUUAAAAUAAAUCAUCAUACCGUAAUUUCAUUACCUUUCAGUUCAUUUCAACCAAAUAAAAUCAAUCCAUAUAAAUCGAGUAAUGAACUUGCCUUAUGAAUUUCUUAAAACUUUGGCUCGUGCCAAAACUCAUACUCGAUGAUACCUUGCGCAGGGUAUCCAACCGAGUCCGCCAAGGCUAUUAAAAUUUUGUAUACACUUAAAAUAUAUUUUUAGUUUGAGAAAAAUACAGUCGUUCCUUGGCGUUGGCUGAGUUCCCCUUCACGUGGUGGUUUAGCGUGAAGUGAACCCUAAGCUUUACCCUAGGAGAUACCCUACGCGCCUCUCCGUUCGAGGUAAUAAUAUAAUGGAGUUUAUCGUGCCCCUCUAAUAGGCUGGUCCACGGAACCCCCUCUGCAGUAAAUAAUUAAUAUAUACUCCACCAAUUUAAUAAAAUUCAUUCUAGCAUGACAUGACAAUUUAUCGCAAUCUAGCCUCUCAAGGCUGAAUACACAAUACAAAUAAUUCUGACACCAAAAUCAAUUUAGCCAUUCAUGCUCAUAUAUUGUCAUAAGCCAUUCAAUUUAAAACCAUAAAUUUACAACACAAGCAGACAGUCUCCAAUUACUCUAUUUUCAAAACCAGUAUUCGAUUUUUCAGAAAAUUUAUAAAAUCAUUUUAUAAAAUCACAAUUUCUCCUAAAACAUAGCAAUUUACCAUUUAAACCCAUUUUCCAUAAAAUCACACAGUUGUAUAAAACUACUCUAGAUAAUUAAGAUGAUAAUAAGUUUACUCACAGUAUUAGGAGUAGAAAUACUCCUAUCUUCCGCCCUCGGGUGCAGUCUCUUACCCGNNN
rnacentral:lncRNA from 1 species